rnacentral:lncRNA from 1 species
GGCAGCACCAAGCUUUCUUUAUAUCCACAGUCUAGCACCAUUGCAGAGUUGAUCCCAAGCGUCAGAAGAGACAUGAGAUGGCUUGGAGCAAACAAGACAGAAGGUACCUCAAAAUGCUUGAAAAGGACUCUUGCAAGAGUGUCUCUGAAGUGGGAAGGACAGAGGACAGAUUCUAUGAUCACAACACGACGGUCUCUGGGAUUCACCAGCAGAUGCCUGAAAUAUAACAUAUGAAUAAAUUCCUUCAGAUAUGAAUAUAGCUCCUCUGUGUUGAUAUUAUAUUGAACGACUUUGACAGGCUUAGAAACAUCAGGUUUCUUUAUUUCACUAGGAAUAAUGCAUCUUGGUCCUGUUUCACCUGCAAAACCACACUUGGUGAAGGCCUCGCCCAGGUCGAGCACCACCGCGGUCUUCUCCCCGCCGCUUCCCAGGCCCUCGUACAGCGGCAUCGCUGCUCCUCCGGACCCCCUCAGAACCGUACCGACAGAGGCGGAGCGUCCCUCUGCGGGUCCUUCCCGCUUUGGGCCCUCCCUCCUGCCGGCUCCCGGAGCUGCCCAUGGCGCCUGACCGUUUC